rnacentral:rRNA from 1 species
UACGUAGGGUGCAAGCGUUGUCCGGAAUUAUUGGGCGUAAAGAGCUCGUAGGCGGUUUGUCACGUCGGAUGUGAAACCCUGAGGCUCAACCUCAGGCCUGCAUUCGAUACGGGCAGACUAGAAUUCGGCAGGGGAGACUGGAAUUCCUGGUGUAGCGGUGAAAUGCGCAGAUAUCAGGAGGAACACCGAUGGCGAAGGCAGGUCUCUGGGGCAUUAACUGACGCUGAGGAGCGAAAGCAUGGGGAGCGAACAGG